rnacentral:lncRNA from 1 species
ACAAAGGUAGGUUCAUGGACCAAACCCCGGAUCAAGCCUAUGAAUUUCUUGUUGACUUAGCCGAGAACGCCCAAAAUUGGAGUAGCUAUGGUGAGGAAGUAAAUAGAGAUGAGUUCGGGUCUAGAAAACUAAGUAAUUAUGAAAUGAAAGCAGACCCAGAACUCAAAAAUGUCAUGUCCAAUCUGGUGACUAGAAUGAACAACUUAAGCAAA